rnacentral:SRP_RNA from 1 species
GCUGGGUGCAGUGGCGCGUGCCUGUAGUCCCAGCUACUUGGGAGGCUGAGGGCGGGAGGACUGCUUGAGGCCAGGAGCUCGAGGCUGCAGUGUGCUGUGAUCAUGCCUGUGAAUAGACACUGCACUCCAGCCUGGGCAACCUAGUGAGACCCUGUCUCUU